UAGGGAAUCUUCCACAAUGGACGCAAGUCUGAUGGAGCAACGCCGCGUGAGUGAAGAAGGUUUUCGGACCGUAAAGCUCUGUUGUUGGUGAAGAAGGAUAGAGGUAGUAACUGGCCUUUAUUUGACGGUAAUCAACCAGAAAGUCACGGCUAACUACGUGCCAGCAGCCGCGGUAAUCGUAGGUGGCAAGCGUUGUCCGGAUUUAUUGGGCGUAAAGCGAGCGCAGGCGGAAGAAUAAGUCUGAUGUGAAAGCCCUCGGCUUAACCGAGGAAUUGCAUCGGAAACUGUUUUCUUGAGUGCAGAAGAGGAGAGUAGAACUCCAUGUGUAGCGGUGGAAUGCGUAGAUAUAUGGAAGAAUACCAGUGGCGAAGGCGGCCCUCUGGUCUGCAACUGACGCUGAGGCUCGAAAGCAUGGGUAGCGAACAGGAUUAGAUACCCUGGUAGUCCAUGCCGUAAACGAUGAGUGCUAAGUGUUGGGAGGCUUCCGCCUCUCAGUGCUGCAGCUAACGCAUUAAGCACUCCGCCUGGGGGAGUACGACCGCAAGGUUGAA
rnacentral:rRNA from 1 species